rnacentral:rRNA from 1 species
AUUGAACGCUGGCGGCAGGCUUAACACAUGCAAGUCGAGCGAGCGGCGGACGGGUGUGUAAUGUCUGGGAAACUGCCUGAUGGAGGGGGAUAACUACUGGAAACGGUAGCUAAUACCGCCUACCAUCAGUUUUGCCCAGAUGGGAUUAGCUAUUAGGUGGUGUAAUGGCUCACCUAGGCGACGAUCCCUAGCUGGUCUGAGAGGAUGACCAGCAACACUGGAACUGGGACACGGUCCGGAUUCCUAGGGGAGGCGGAAGUGGGGAAUAUUGCACAAUGGGCGAAAGCCUGAUGAAGCCAUGCCGCGUGUGGGAAGAAGGCCUUCGGGUUGUAAAGCACUUUCAGCGAGGAGGCGUUACUCGCAGAAGAAGCACCGGCUAACUCCGUGCCAGCAGCCGCGGUAAUAC